rnacentral:rRNA from 1 species
UACCAGCACCCCGAGUGGUCGGGACGAUUAUUGGGCCUAAAGCAUCCGUAGCCGGUCAUGCAAGUCUUCCGUUAAAUCCAGCCGCUCAACGGUUGGGCUGCGGAGGAUACUACGUGGCUAGGAGGCGGGAGAGGCAAGCGGUACUCAGUGGGUAGGGGUAAAAUCCUUUGAUCCAUUGAAGACCACCAGUGGCGAAGGCGGCAUCCUGGACUGGUCCUGACACUCAGGAGCGAAAGCGUGGGGAGCGAUCCGG